rnacentral:rRNA from 1 species
AACGAACGCUGGCGGCAUGCCUAACACAUGCAAGUCGAACGAGACCUUCGGGUCUAGUGGCGCACGGGUGCGUAACGCGUGGGAACCUGCCCUUAGGUUCGGAAUAACUCCCCGAAAGGGGUGCUAAUACCGGAUAAUGUCUUCGGACCAAAGAUUUAUCGCCUUUGGAUGGGCCCGCGUUGGAUUAGCUAGUUGGUAGGGUAAAAGCCUACCAAGGCGACGAUGCAUAGCUGGUCUGAGAGGAUGAUCAGCCAGACUGGGACUGAGACACGGCCCAGACUCCUACGGGAGGCAGCGGUGGGGAAUAUUGGAGAAUGGGCGAAAGCCUGAUCAAGCAAUGCCGGGUGAGUGAUGAAGGCCUUAGGGUUGUAAAGCUCUUUUACCCGGGAUGAUAAUGACAGUACCGGGAGAAUAAGCUCCGGCUAACUCCGUG